GUGCUCGCUUCGGCAGCACAUAUACUAAAAUUGGAACAAUACAGAGAAGAUUAGCGAGGCCCCUGUGCAAGGAUGACACGCAAAUUCGUGAAGCGUUCCGUAUUUUU
rnacentral:snRNA from 1 species